GAUGAACGCUGGCGGCGUGCCUAAUACAUGCAAGCCGAGCGAAUGGAUUAGGAGCUUGCUCUUAUGAAGUUAGCGGCGGACGGGUGAGUAACACGUGGGUAACCUGCCCAUAAGACUGGGAUAACUCCGGGGAACCGGGGCUAAUACCGGAUAACAUUUUGAACCGCAUGGUCCGAAAUUGAAAGGCGGCUUCGGCUGUCACUGAUGGAUGGACCCGGGUCGCAUUAGUGAGUUGGUGAGGUAACGGCUCAACAAGGCAACGAUGCGUAGCCGACCUGAGAGGGUGAUCGGCCACACUGGGACUGAGACACGGCCCAGACUCCUACGGGAGGCAGCAGUAGGGAAUCUUCCGCAAUGGACGAAAGUGUGACGGAGCAACGCCUCGUGAGUGAUGAAGGCUUUCGGGUCGUAAAACUCUGUUGUUAGGGAAGAACAAGUGCUAGUAGAAUAAGCUGGCACCGUGACGGUACCUAACCAGAAAGCCACGGCUAACUACGUGCCAGCAGCCGCCGUAA
rnacentral:rRNA from 1 species